GGGCUGCAGACCUGGAUCCAUCAAGAAUGUAGAAAACAGGCUCUGUAAAGAGAUGAAAGUAGCGGAAACCUUGGAUCCAGUGAUCGCCAUUAACUGACCCUCCGUGUGGAAAACGCAAACACUUUGGAAGGAUGUGCAGAGAGGGCUCGGAACACAGGCCAAGUUUCCAAGACAGAGAUCGGGGAAAGCUGUUAGGGGCCCCUAGCUGUCAGAAGAAACCUUGAUGUGAUGUGCCAAUCAGAACCAGGAAAGCAAGGCAGAAUAUGCGAGCAAGCUUCCGCCUGGAAACCUCCAAGCACCAGGAAAAACUGAAUGCAGAUGUGGGCCAAGAAAUCCCAGAUGUGGAGGUCGUGUCCCAAGAACGUUGGGUCCCCUGUGAACGUCCUGAGCCAACAGACUCAUCUGUCAGAUGGCAUCAGAUUAUGAUGCAAGCAAAAAUAUAUUCAUAAGCUAUAGGCAUCGAAAAAGAGAACUGUGGAACAAAGGAUCAUGGUUUCAAGAGAAAGGACCAGUCCCUGAUUCAUGGGAAGCAGGUCAUCGGGCCAGUACAGAAACCUUCACAGGAAACAAGAGUUCCUACAUCCAAAUAUGGUAGCAAACAAGGAGGGUCAUGUAUGAAAAAAAUCAUAGAGAA